UACGGGGGGGGGGCAAGCGUUGUUCGGAAUUACUGGGCGUAAAGGGCGCGUAGGCGGUUGGAUAAGUCAGCUGUGAAAACCACGGGCUUAACUCGUGGCCUGCAGUUGAGACUGUCUGGCUUGAGUGUGGGAGAGGAGAGUGGAAUUCCUGGUGUAGCGGUGAAAUGCGUAGAUAUCAGGAGGAACACCGGUGGCGAAGGCGGCUCUCUGGACCACAACUGACGCUGAGGCGCGAAAGCUAGGGGAGCAAACAGG
rnacentral:rRNA from 1 species